rnacentral:misc_RNA from 1 species
AAGUCGUAACAAGGUUUCCGUAGGUGAACCUGCGGAAGGAUCAUUACUAGAGCAAAGGAUAGACAGCGCCCGCGGAGCCUUGCUCCCUGGGGCUACCCUACUUCGGUAAGGUUUAGAGUCGUCGGGCCUCUCGAAGAAGCUCGGUCCUGAACUCCACCCUUGAAUAAAUUACCUUUGUUGCUUUGGCGGGCCGCCUCGUGCCAGCGGCUUCGGCUGUUGCGUGCCCGCCAGAGGACCACAACUCUUGUUUUUAGUGAUGUCUGAGUACUAUAUAAUAGUUAAAACUUUCAACAACGGAUCUCUUGGCUCUG